CCCUGCCCCACCUCCUCCACCAGUGGCAGCAGCAGCAGCAGCAGCAGCAGCAGCAGCAGCAGCAGCAGGAGCAGCAGGAGUAGCAGCAGCAGCAGCAGGAGCAGAAUCAGCAACACAUGUGCCCCUUGCCCAUGCAAGCACACAAGGCAGGCCUGCAAGCCCAGGAGGGCAGCAGCAGGAGAUAGCAGCAGCAGCCUCAGUAGCGGCUAUACCCAUGGCUGUGCAUGCAAGCACAGAAGCGUUGCCUGCAGGCACAGAGGGGGGGCAGCAGCAGGAGACAGCAGCAGCACCUACACCCAUGGCUACGCAUGCAUUGAGCAGUUCCCAUUUGAGAGGGCAAUAGCAAAGUGGUCGGCAGCAAAGCAGCGACGGCCAGCGCCACUGGGCACCCAGCAGCAGCAGCAGCAGCA
rnacentral:lncRNA from 1 species